AACAGGAUUAGAUACCCUGGUAGUCCACGCCGUAAACGAUGUCGACUUGGAGGCUGUUCCCUUGAGGAGUGGCUUCCGGAGCUAACGCGUUAAGUCGACCGCCUGGGGAGUACGGCCGCAAGGUUAAAACUCAAAUGAAUUGACGGGGGCCCGCACAAGCGGUGGAGCAUGUGGUUUAAUUCGAUGCAACGCGAAGAACCUUACCUACUCUUGACAUCCAGAGAAUUUAGCAGAGAUGCUUUAGUGCCUUCGGGAACUCUGAGACAGGUGCUGCAUGGCUGUCGUCAGCUCGUGUUGUGAAAUGUUGGGUUAAGUCCCGCAACGAGCGCAACCCUUAUCCUUUGUUGCCAGCGCGUAAUGGCGGGAACUCAAAGGAGACUGCCGGUGAUAAACCGGAGGAAGGUGGGGAUGACGUCAAGUCAUCAUGGCCCUUACGAGUAGGGCUACACACGUGCUACAAUGGCGCAUACAAGGAGAAGCGACCUCGCGAGAGCAAGCGGACCUCAUAAAGUGCGUCGUAGUCCGGAUUGGAGUCUGCAACUCGACUCCAUGAAGUCGGAAUCGCUAGUAAUCGUAAAUCAGAAUGUUACGGUGAAUACGUUCCCGGGCCUUGUACACACCGCCCGUCACACCAUGGGAGUGGGUUGCAAAAGAAGUAGAUAGCUUAACCUUCGGGAGGGCGUUUACCACUUUGUGAUUCAUGACUGGGGUGAAGUCGUAACAAGGUAACCGUAGGGGAACCUGCGGCUGGAUCACCUCCUU
rnacentral:rRNA from 1 species